rnacentral:rRNA from 2 species
CUAGCGCGGUGGUCCCACCUGACCCCAUGCCGAACUCAGAAGUGAAACGCCGUAGCGCCGAUGGUAGUGUGGGGUCUCCCCAUGCGAGAGUAGGGAACUGCCAGGCA